GAUGAAGAACGUAGCGAAAUGCGAUAAGUAAUGUGAAUUGCAGAAUUCAGUGAAUCAUCGAAUCUUUGAACGCACAUUGCGCCCGCCAGCAUUCUGGCGGGCAUGCCUGUUCGAGCGUCAUUUCAACCAUCAAGCCCCAGGCUUGCGUUGGAGCCCUGCGGCCGCCGCAGCCUCCGAAAUACAGUGGCGGGCUCGCUAUCACACCGAGUGCAGUAGUUUACUCUUCGCUCAGGACGUGUAGCGGGUUCCGGCCGUGAAACCCCCCAAUUUUCAAGGUUGACCUCGGAUCAGGUAGGAAUACCCGCUGAACUUAAGCAUAUCAAUAAGCGGAGGA
rnacentral:misc_RNA from 1 species